rnacentral:lncRNA from 1 species
UUUUUUUUUUUUGCUUUACUGGUGCUAAACACAAAUUCUGAAGAAGACCCUUUUGGAUUUAGAGGCUAAAGCUCAGUUCUUUAAGCUAUUUCUUGGUAUAUUAAGAAAAAAGAUUGGAUUUUUUUGAUUUAUUGGUGUUUGGGUUGUGGUGGAUUGUUCUGAUUUUAACCUUUGUUUUGGUUGGUGAAUUUCCUUAUCCGGGGUUUUCUUGAUUGUUUUUUAUUGUGUUGGAUUCUGGUGCAAAGACUCAAUUUUUUUAACAGUUUCUACUGUUUUUUUCCUUCCUCAAACAGUCUAUCUACCAUCCCAAGAUAGGAGUAAGGUCUGCACUAUCAUCUCUAAACCCCAUUUUUGGGACUCCACCGGGUCUAUUGUUGUUGUGGCAAUUUACGAUCGGUCCAGGUAUAACUUAAUGCGAAUUAAUUAUCAAAUCCAUAUGUAUAAAUUCAACCCAUGCAUAUCAUUGAACCCGAAUUUAAAAUUAGCCUUUCACCUCGAUUCUUUUCUUCUUCCUCAUACAAUGCCCUUCCCUAUACAAUACCCUUCCAUGAACCUAACAACUUUUCUCAACAAGAAAUUUGACAACCAAGAAACACGAAUUGACAUUGCACCUUCUUAUUAGUCUCAUACCUGCUAAUAUAACAAAAUAUUAAGAAACCAGGCAGGCACUUUUUUCAAUCCUUUGUCCGUUUGUUUCUUUAUGCAACAAAACCACAAGUAUUUGCAGAGAAUUCUUUUAAAAUAUAAAAUUUAUUCUAUUGGGUUUGUAUGUCACGCCCCGAAAUUAGGAUGAGGCGUGAUGACAAUCAACCUAUCUUACUUGUCGAACAAAACUUGUUCUAACUAUCGAAAAUUCUAUAUAGAACAUCAUACCCAAGAGACUCAUAAAUAAAUCUUAAGAUAAUAGAUGUUUGAAAGCUAAAUGAUAACUUAAACACUAACAUGUCUGACAACUGAGUCCACUAACAAAGUAUCUAAAGAAUCUGGAGUCCAUUGCAUUUGGCACCCCUAAUGUCUAUCUUUUUUUUGUGAUUUGCAACCUGUCAUGUUUUGUUUUACGAUUUUAAUCCUAAGCUCUUUAUUCACUUGCAAAACAAUAAAAUCAUCAUUUAUAUAAAUUUUUCAUGAGGGCAACAUAGAAAAUACAAAUAAAAUAUCUUCUUUUUUUUUAAGUUAUUUUUUUAUGGUGGGACGUUAAUCCUAGUGAAACUCUUGCCGCCAUCAUCAUUGCAUCGUGGGAGACAUGGUUAAGCUCUCCAAGCAUAAAACGCGCUAAAGGCAGCGUCAAUUUUACCGAGAAUAAAUAGCACAUCCAGUAUAUCAUCAAUGGAUAAGAGCAAGGAGAAACGGAAAAGUCGAUUGAAGAAGGAGAAAUUGAAAGGUAAUAAGUUCAGAGUAAACAAAUUCCAUUCGUAUGCUCUUUAAUUCGUCGAUGGGUAUUGAAUUGCCAAAAGCUUAUUGUUUGCAAUGCGUAAGAUGCAAUCCAUCAUUAACAUGUUCUUGUCCCAUCCUCUAUCUGCUAUUGAUUUUCUUUUUUUAAAAAAAUAAAUCACAAAACUCUAACUCACUACAACAAUGCACCAGAAAGAAAGGUUUGCAAAUCUAUCAAAAUUUCAAACAACUCUGAAUACUAUCAUGUACAUCAAUAAAGAAAGAUCAAUUCAUUUAAGUUCUUGCUCUACUUUGGAUAAAACAGGCCUUGUGUCAAUUUAGCUUUUUUGUUGGCCGUAGUUGUUUACUUUUAUUGAAUAUUCUGAUACCAAAAGUAGUUCUUCAAUAUGUAUUUUUUUUUAUCUAAUCUAGAAAUUGAGCUAGCUAAAAUAAUUUUAAACCUUGCAUGAGCUUUUUACAUUGAAGAUUCACCAUGGAGGUGAAUUCUUAGAUGUACAUUUGGGAGGCAAGAUAGAUUUUAUUGAUAAGUGUGAUCCACAUAAAUGGUCAUUGCAAACCUUGGAAUGGAUUGGAACAACGAGAUUAAGAUACAGCAGUAAGAAAAGAGGAUAAAAAGAAAAAUCUAGCAGGAAAUGGCGAAGUUAGUGUAAAGGGGAGGAAAGAGGGGAAGGAAAAAAAGAAAGAUAAAGUGAUGGAGAAAGCCAAGAGUGCCAAUUUUGCCGGGUUACUACUGGAGGACUCAAGUACAGAAUCUGAGAAUGAUAACAUCUCUCCUAAGUAUGAUUCAGAUGACAUGUGCAGUAUUAAUAGCGAUGAUGAUGAAAAGGUUAGAAAGGUUGAAAAUGUUGCAUUUAGGGCAGAAACAGACAUGGAUAAUUUAACAUUUAGGUUGGGAAAGACAUUCAUUGAUGCAAUAGAAUUUAGAGCUGCACUGAGAGCUUAUUCUAUUAAAAAUAACAAGAAAAUUUCCUUCAAAAAGAAUGAAUCUGAUAAAAUUUCUGCAAAAUGUUGUGAUCAAUGUCCACGGCGCAUAUAUGCAUCUAAAAAGGCACCAGAUGACCCCACAAUCACGAUAAAAACUUUAGUUGGGAAACAUUCUGAUGAUUGUUUGUUUGUUUAUGUCAACAAAAAUGUGAAAUCUCGAAUGAUUGCCAAAUAUUUCCUGCAUUAUUUGAGAAUACAUCCAGAUGUAUCAGUAGGAGAUUUCAUGGACAAAAUACAUGAAGAGAUGAAUGUUGAAGUUUCAGUGAGCAAAGUGUAUAGAUGUGAUGACCCAAAAGGUCAUCUUAUGUUUUAAAACUCGAAUCUGCGCUCUUAAGCCUUAAAAAUCUCAUUUUUUUUCCCUCCUCGAUUUGUGUGCACAGUUCGGACAGGUUUCCGAAAAGCUUUUAUGUUGAAAAUUGAUGAAAAUAAGAAUUUAUGCCUUAAAAGUUAAUUUUAGUUUACUUCGGUCAAUAUUUUUAGUAAACGGGCCCGGAUCCGUAUUUUGAUGAUCCCGGUGGGUCCGUAUCAAAUUAUGGGACCUGGACGUAUGCCCGGAAUCGAAUUUGGAGGUCCCUAUCUCAAGUUAUGAAUUUUUGAUGAAAAUUAAAAAUCUGAAAAAUUAAUUAUUUUUAAGAAUUGAUUGAUGUUGGGCAUUGUUAGUGCCGGGUCCGUAUUCUGGUUCCGGAGCCCGGUACAGGUUUAUUAUGAUAUUUAAGACUUGUCUGUGAAAUUUGGUGAGAAACGGAGUUGAUUUGACGUGAUUCGAACGUCCAGUUGAGAAAAUAGAAAUUUUAAAGUGUUCUUGAAAAUUUCAUUUGAUUUGGUGCUAAAUUCGUAGUUCUAGGUGUUAUUUUGGCGAUUUGAUCGCGCGAGCAAGUUCGUAUGAUAUUUUUAGACUUGUGGACAUGUUUGGUUUGGAGCACCGAGAGCUCGGGGUGAGUUUCGGAUAGGCCACGGGAUAUUUUGGACUUUGGAAAUCUGGUAUUUUGCUGCAGCAAGUGUUCUGGCAUGUCCUUCUUCGCGUUCACGAAGGUACUCUCGCGAACGCGAAGAGUAAACUGGGCAGCUGAAGGUUUCUUCUUCGCGAACGCGAAGCGAUGAGGGCGUUACCCUUCGCGAACGCGACAAGCCCAUCGCGAACGCGUAGUGUUAGGCAUUGGGGAUGGGGAGUCAGCCGUUCCUUCAUCGCGAACGCGAAGGCCAGGGGGGAGUAACCAUCGCGAACACGAGCUGGGUCUCGCGAACGCGUAGACUUGGCAGCCAGUACCCUUCGCGAACGCGAUGAAUACUGUCGCCCAGCACUUAACAGAAUCCAAAAACGGAAUUUUAGCCAAAAACUCAUUUUUCUCAAAAAACAAGCGGUGAGAGGCAGUUUUUCAAGAGCUAUUUCUUCCCUAAAUUGUUGAUAAGUGAUUCUAAACCAUUUUCUUUCAAUUACCCAUUACAUUUUNNNNNNNNNNNNNNNNNNNNNNNNNGAGGUCGGAUUCCAAAACCAAUUAUAUAUUCGGGAUCGGGGAUGAAUGGGUAAGUAGAUUUUGGUCCGAACCUCGGGUUUUGAUCAAGCGGGUCCGGGGUCGAUUUUUCGACUUUUUGGAGAAAAAUUUAGGAAAUUUAAUUUAUGCAAUAUAAUUGACUCCUUUAGCAAUAUUUGAUAUUAUUGAGUUAUUUUUGAAUAGAUACGAGUGGUUUGGAGAUGAAUUCUAAAGGAAAAGCUGUGAUUGAGAAUUAAGUGGCCUUCAGAGCGAUGUAAGUGUUGUUUCUAACCCUGACUUGAGGGAAUUAGGAACCUUAGAUUACUUGCUAAGUGAAAUCCAUGUGAGCAACGUAUAUGUGAGGUGACAAGUACUUAUGUGCCGCCAAUUUACCUGUUUUCCAUGUUUCUCUGUUUUCCUUAUAUUGUCUCUUUCCUAUGCCAAAUUGCUAUGUGUUAUAUUAGUGUUGUUCAAUUUAUCGUUCUUAUCAUGUUUACGAAUUUUCUGGUGAUAAUUGAGUGUUUAUUUCAAAGUUGAGAUUGAUAUUAUGGAACCAAAUGUUGAAGUAAUGUUUGUACUUAUUAAUCUAUCUCUCUGUUGUUAUUUAUGCAUUGCAUUAUGGUAAGGGAGAGUGUUAAUACACGAAGGGUGAUGCCAUGCCAUAUUGUGAGUGUUAAUGCACGAAGGGUGAUGUCGUGCUAUGAUAUGAAAGUUAAUGCACGAAGGGUGAUGCCGUGCCGUUUCUAUUAAUUUUAGGUGAGAUUGAGAGUAAAAGCACAAAGGGUGAUGCCGUAUAUUUUUCAUGGUAUAUUGACUGCUCCGAUGAUCAUUCUAUUGUAGUUCUUUAUCUUGUAUUCCCCUACGUAUGUUCCCCUCCCGACAUUUUCUGUUUAGUUCUUCAUCUCUGUUAUUUAUAUAUACACUAUUAAAUUGUACAGGUUGAUUUGUAGGUGCCUUGCCUUAGCCUCGUCACUACUUCGUCGAGGUUAGGAUCGACACUUACCAGUAUAUGGGAUCGGUUGUACUGAUACUACACUCUGCACUUUCUGUGCAGAUUUUGAUAUCGGCUCGGGUUGAUCGAGAUUUUGCUAUUGGUCCGCUGUCCGGAGACUCAAUGUAGAUCUGUCGGUGUUCACAGACCUUGAAGUCCCCGUCUAUCUUUUCUGUUCUACUGUUUCUUUCAUUCAGACAUUUGUAUUUCUUUCUGACUAUUAGUUGUAGCAAAUUCUAGAAUGCUCGUGAAUUGUGACUCAAGAUCCGGGGUAGUAAUUAAUACAGUUUUAUAAUAUUCCGUACUUAUUAUAUUUCAUCUUAGUUAAUUAUUGUUAUUUACUGAAUGGAAAUAAGGAAUUGGUCUAACGAUUUUCUAACGUUGGCUUGCCUAACAAGUGAAAUGUCAGGCGCCAUCAUGGUCCCGUCGGUGAGAAAUUUCGGAUCGUGACAAUAGAACAAAGACAAUAGCAAAGGAAAUGAUAGAAGGUCUCUACAAAGAACAAUAUGCAAAAUUAGAGGACUAUUGUGCAGAACUCAAGAGAAAGAAUCCAGGAUCAAUUGUAUUGUUAGAAACAACACCUCAUGAAGAGGAUGGCAGACCUGUUUUUGAAAAAAUGUACAUAUGUCUUGAGCCCUGCAGAAGAGGUUGGAUGGAAGGUUGUAGGCCACUCAUUAGGAUAGACGGUUUCUUUCUUUAAGGACCAUAUGGAGGUCAACUUUUGACAGUAAUUGGGAUAGAUGCUGAUAAUGGUAUAUUUCCUAUAGCCUACGCUGUAGUUGAUAUUGAAAAUAAGCAUAACUAGAAGUGAUUUUUAAAUUUGUUGGUGGAUGACUUGCAAAUUAGAAAUCAUGAUAACUUAUGUCUCAUUACAGACAAACAAAAGGUAAGAUUUUUUAUCCACAUAUAAUACCAAAUUCUAAUUGCUUUCAAUUAUCAAAAUUAGCCAUGUUUAUUAUUCUACUCACUUUUGUAGGGUUUGGAGGGAGCUAUUUAUGAGACAGUUCUCCAAGUUGAACAUAGGCUUUGUGUAAGACAUUUGUAUAAUAAUUUCAAGAAAGAGCACAAAGGUUUAUCGUUGAAGAUAAGAGUUUGGAAAGCUGCAAGGGCAACUCAUGUAAGUAAGUAUAGAUAUGAGAUGGAUAUGCUGGAAAAGGAGGACAAAGAAGUUAGAAAUUAGUUCAACGAUAGACCACCCAAAUUCUGGAGCAAGUCACAUUUUAGAACAACAACAAAGUGUGAUAUGCUUUUGAAUAAUCUUUGUGAGGCAUCAAUGGGACAAAACCCAUUUUGAGGGCAAGGGAGAAACCUAUACUUGGACUACUUGAAGGAAUUAGAAUAUACUUGAUGAAGAAACUGAACCAAAAGAGGGAAGACCUGCUCAAAUACCAAGGUAAUAUUGUUAUUGUAACUUCUCUGAAGCACAAAAUAUUUAACAUGAUCCUGACAAUAUUUUACUAUAACAGGAAAUUUAUGCCCUCGAAUCCGAAAACUAGUAAAAAAAGUGAAGGAAGACUCGGCUACAUCAAUUCCUACUUGGGCUGAAAAAUUUUCAUUUCAAGUAAAGACCAUGUAUGGUGAACAAUUUAGUGUUGACUUGAGUGGAAGAAUCUAUUCAUGUAGGGGAUGGGACCUUACAGGAAUCUCAUGCUCACAUGCAAUGAGCUGCAUAUUCCAUAUAAGAGAGAAUCCAAAAAAUUUCAUACAUGAUUGUUACAAGAAGACUGCUCAAAUGAGGAUUUAUGAGCCAGUCAUUGCUCCAAUGGAUGGACCUGAUAUGUGGGAACCUACUGAUCUACUUGAUGUUAACCCUCCUAACUAUGAGCCGAAGACAAGUAAGUUGAACAAAAAUAGAAGAAAAGAGCCCGAUGAAAUUGAAGCCUCCGAGAGAAAAGUAGUUGAGAUGAAAAAACAGAGAAGAGAGAAAAAGAAAAAAUAAUCUACAACAAGUGAAAUGCAUGAUGUUACCAAAUUGAGUAAGAAAGGGAAGUUAGGGAGGUGUAGCAAGUUCUUGCAAACUGGUCACAACAAAAUAACUUGCAACAAGAGUAGCGAUUCCUCGAAUUCAACAACUCUACCUCAAGCUACUCAAACAACUCAAGAUUGGUGCCAAAAUGCUACAAGUCAAUCCCCACCCAAGUAAGCAAAUCAAUUUUGAGUCCACUUAUUGGACUGGACAUAUAAAUGAACCUUCCAAACUCAAUGUAAGUAUGGAACCUUGAAUAUAGGUGAUUUAGUACUUUGAGAGACAGUUAAUAUAUUUGUGUUCUUUAUUUAUUUUCACAGCUAAGAAGGCCAAUGGAGGAUGAUUCAUCUCAUAGACCUGCGCGAGCUCAAGUUGGUGGCAUUGUGUUAAAUGCUGAGAAGUAUAUGUAGAAUGGAAAAAAUUGUAUUAGCUUACAAACCCUUCAAAAUACAAGUGCUAUAGAGAAGUCCAAGAAAAAGAGCUUUGAUGUGGAAGAAAAUAGAAGCAAUUAGCAUAUGAAAUUAUCAGCAAGAACAAAUUUUAAUUUCAUCAAGACUUCUUUUGUUGUUUAAUGGAUAUUUCCCUAUCAUUUAUUCCUAAGAGAUUUUCAAUGUCAAGUUUGUCAUUUACCUUUACAAUUUAAUUUUAGUAUUUUUACUCUUCGAAGCCUUUUAUUUGUAUAUCCUAUUUUGCCCUCAUAAAAAAUUUAUAUAAAUGGUGGUUUUAUUAUUUUGCAAGAGAAUAAAGAGGUUAGGGUUGAAAUCGUAUAAAAAAAUAAGACAGGGUGCAAAUCACAAAAAAGGAUACACAUUAGAGGUGCAAAAUGCGACGGACUCAAAGAAUCUGAGUAUAUAAGUCUUCCGAGGCAUUCCCCUAAAAUAGUAUAAAUAAAGGCGUCUAUAAAUAAAUAAAUAAAUAAAGUCUAGAGAAAGAUUUGUUGUUACCGCUGAGAUGAAUCAACAGAGCCUGCACUCUAAGUCACGAAAAUAUGUCUCUAAUCACGGAUUUUCACCUACAAACGCAACACCUACCGCACGACGUGGUAGGCCCAAACGGGCUAAGUACCACCAAAGGAUAGCUAGAAGUCUCAUUGACUGCCCCCAAAGGUGGAGGGCAAGACUAGCGUGGGCCACAUAAAUAUAAAAAAAAUACAGCAAGUAGAGCAGACAAUUCAUAUAAAAAUAAUUGAAUAAUCUAAAAAGCUAAAACUUGUUUUGAUAACUGAAUUCAGAUUAGUAAAUGAAAGUCGAAGCUAUAAACUAAUUUUGUAUCUAAUAAAUGAAACUAAAACUUAAAACUGAGUCUAAAACUGAUAUCUGAAACUGAAGUUGAAAACUGUGUUACUUUUAAAAAAAUAGUUUUUCUGAAAAUAUUGCACAUAAUGGCGCUAUGUAUAUGAGGAUCUGGGCACCGUAUGGGGACUGUUAAAGCUACUUUGGAGCCUCCGGUCAUGCUUACUGAAACUCAAUCUGUAUGUGGGGCCAUCGAGUGACUCAAUCAAGCUUAACACGUCUGAACGUGCUAGCAUCUACAAGCAUGUGGUAGCUAGCCCUGGCCACCGUGACACUCAUGCUCGUGGAGGGUAUCUACUUUUCUCUUUUUGAAUCUGAAUCUGAAUUUGAAUAUUUUAGGCCCUCGUGGAUAAAGUCUCCACUAUACUAACUCAUACACACUAAGCCCUCGUGGAUAAAGUGAGACUAUAUUAUUUUUUUUCUUCUGAAUCUGAACUGAAAGUUUGAGCAGUACAAGCAAUUUCACGUAAACAAUCAAUCAGAGAACAUCAAGAACCUAUUCAUUUUCUGUUCUAAAUAUGAACUGUAGGUCUGAGCAAUAUAAGUAGCUUCACAUAAUAACAAUUCCACAUAAUCAAAUAAUUACAACAAGGCAUACUAUUUAAGAUUUCUCGUAUUAGAGGUUUUCAUUGUAUAUAUAUAGUAAGGCAAGCAAGCAAGCAAUAUACUAUUCACAUUUUAAUAUAGCCCUUUACUUAGGGAAGAAAGUUCAAAUCACCUCUAAUGGGGUGCUCAAGUUUUUCCUUCCAAGAACUCACGAAUUCGGCUCCUCAAAAUCUACAGUUAAGCAGUUACAAUCAUUAUUUUGUCCUACUAACUCAACACCCAUAAUUCACUCGAGGCUUUAUUGGCCAGCAAUAACUUUUCAUAACUUUCUACCCAUAACUCUUAUAAAUUUCAUAAUCUGUAGUCAUAGUCUGUCAUAAAAUUACUAACUUUAAUACUAAUAGGUAACGAAACGUAUCUUGAAUGAUGCCUCCACAAACCCUGGGUCUUGACGAACGCUUGAUUUUUUGGGUGAAAACCUAGAUUUUAGGAAUUAGAAGGUGUUAAACGAUGUUAAUCUAAAUUUUUUAACUUGAAUCCAUGGUAGAAAUCUUACCUUGGGUGGAUUGGUGAAUCCCUAAUCAAGUCGUUCUUGCUCUCAAAAUCUCUCCAAAAUACAGUAGAAAUAAGUGAACUUCUCUCAUUUUGAAGUGCCUCAACCUGACACGUUAUGCCACACGUCGCAUGGCACCUCGAAAUUUUUU